AGACUACAACAUUCAGAAUGUUGCUUCAUCAGUGGAUGAGGGCUUUAAACAGCUGCAGAAGGCAGAAAGAUCGCAGAAGAAAGGAGGGAUGGUGAUGUGUGCAACAGUGCUUGUUAUUAUGUGCUUCAUCAUGCUAGUCCUCUUGAUCCUCAAGCAGUUAUUUUUGUGAUCAUUUUAUGUUUGUUACUGAUACCUUGGCCCGCUAGUUGAAUGUGAACCUGCAUGUUAGGUUUGCAAGCUGACUGGGAAGUGUGUAAAGAUGACCUGAAUACGUGUCUGACCCACUUGAGUUGUGGGAAAUUAUUAUCUACAUGGGAGUUUCCAUUGCAGUUUUGCCAUUUGCAAGAAAAUUUUGCCAGCAGACUGGGCCUUUUCUUUCUUUCCUUUUUAGUUUUUACCCCCUUUUUUAUGCAUGUAUUUUUCUGUAGGCCCUACCAUUUUUGGUUGUUAGGCUCCCC
rnacentral:misc_RNA from 1 species